GGUUAAGCGACUAAGCGUACACGGUGGAUGCCCUGGCAGUCAGAGGCGAUGAAGGACGUGCUAAUCUGCGAUAAGCGCCGGUAAGGUGAUAUGAACCGUUAUAACCGGCGAUUUCCGAAUGGGGAAACCCAGUGUGACUCGUCACACUA
rnacentral:rRNA from 23 species